rnacentral:rRNA from 1 species
GGAGGGAAACGAAUGCAGCCAUGAAGGNUCCGUUCAGGUUCAGGGCUCUUGGUCGCGUGCGUUGGAAGUGGCGGACCCUUUUUGGGCCGUGCAAACCGCGUGCUGCAAAGAGCAAUCCCGUUCGGAGCCCGCCAACGGUGGCCAAUCCUGGGCGACGAGGGGGACUUAUAGCCUUCGGCGGCGGAGGAGAGCGCUGCAGCGUACCGGGUCGCUUCUGUUCUUGCUUCGCGUCGAGGGCAGUGUCCGGCGACGGUAAGUGCGCUCRUUCGGAAGGCGGGCCACGAUCUGCGCUGCGGUCGUUGGUGUGUGUAUGGCUCCAUCCGACCCGUCUUGAAACACGGACCAAGGAGUGCAAGAGGCGUGCAAGUCUUUGGGUUGGAGACCCUUGGGCGCAAUGAAAGUGAAGGGGGGCCCCAUCGUCGACCGAUCCCGGGCUGCUCUGCGGUGGGAUUCGAGUGAGAGCAUGCCUGUUGCGACCCGAAAGAUGGUGAACUAUGCCUGAAUAGGGCGAANCCAGAGAAAACUCUGGUGGAAGCUCGCAGCGGUUCUGACGUGCAAAUCGAUGGUCAAAUUUG